UCAAGUCUGGUAAUAAAAAAAAGG
rnacentral:piRNA from 1 species